CGUGCAGGCGGGGUUGGUAAGUCAGAUGUGAAAGCCCUGGACUCAACCCAGGAAGUGCAUUUGAAACUGCCAUCCUUGAGUAUGGGAGAGGAGAGUGGAAUUCCCAAUGUAGAGGUGAAAUUCGUAGAUAUUGGGAGGAACACCCGUGGCGAAGGCGACUCUCUGGACCAAUACUGACGCUGAGACGCGAAAGCGUGGGGAGCAAACA
rnacentral:rRNA from 1 species